rnacentral:SRP_RNA from 1 species
GCCGGGCAUGGUGGCAGAUGCCUGUAGUCCCACCUACUGGGGAGUCUGAGGUGGGAGAACUGCUUCAGCCAGGAGUUCUGGGCUGUAGUGUGCUAUCCUGAUUGGGUGUCCACAAUAAGUUCAGCAUCAAUAUGGUGACCUCCCAGGAGCGGGAGACCACCAGGUUGCCUAAGGAUGGGUGAACCGGCCCAGGUCGGAAACGGAGCAGGUCAAAACUCCCGUGCUGAUUAGCAGUGGGAUCGCGCCUGUGAAUAGCCACUGCACUCCAGCCUGGGCAACAGAGUAAGACCCCGUCUCU